GACGAAGGGGGCGAGCGUUGUUCGGAAUUACUGGGCGUAAAGGGCGCGCAGGCGGCCUUAGAAGUCAGAUGUGAAAGCCCCGGGCUCAACCUGGGAAUGGCAUUUGAUACUCUGAGGCUGGAGUACGGGAGAGGAGAGUGGAAUUCCCAGUGUAGAGGUGAAAUUCGUAGAUAUUGGGAAGAACACCGGUGGCGAAGGCGGCUCUCUGGACCGUAACUGACGCUGAGGCGCGAAAGCGUGGGGAGCAAACAGG
rnacentral:rRNA from 1 species